GCCCACAUAAAAGGCAUCGCUGGCUAACCUAGGCAGAGUCACAUUGAAUUUAAUGGCCUCCUGUUCCGCCGCUGCGCUGCUCGGGAUUUCAUACAUUCAUUCUCGCUCGUCUGCCUCGUAAUGUGGCGGGACGCGAGUGUUCACGUGCAUUCUCCCCGUCUCUCCCCCGUCUGUCUGUCUCACACGCCCUCAGACAGAGGCCGGGUUCAGGCCCGAGGCUGGAACCCCUGGCUGAUGAAGGCCCGGGCUCACGUUGUUCAACGUGUGCGCCCUUGUGUGUGUGACGCUAGCUUCCUUAUGACCUUCCUGACGGUCGGAGAGGGGCUCGAGCCAUAACUCCCCCGUCCGCCUCUACCCUUGAGCAACAUCGCUCUGAGAUCAGCAAGUCAAAUGGCUGAGCUUCUCAAACACACACCCUGAAAAUAAAACACUCGUAAUCAAUAAAUAAAGCUGCAGAGAUAAAUCUGCUCAGCUUUAUUUAUCGAUUGGUCUGAAGCCUCGCGGAGCGCGGCCUGUCGACGCAGCGGUUGCUAAACACAGAGCUGUGUGAUCAACUAGGUUCGUUUACUAAUUAUCAGUUAGGAACGACAUUAAUGAACUCACUGUUGUGCCCGAAGGUUCUGUCCGCUGUCUGCUCUGAUUUCAUGCAGAAACAAACUUCAUGCACAUGAUACGUGGCCACCUGAUGAACGUCAGGCCACGUUUGCGUUUACGUUUGCUUCGCCCUGGGCGCUGAGGACCCUCAAGGGACGGAUCUGGUCCUCCAGCGGCGCAGGUGUGGCGACUUAUUUGAACAUUUGCAGGAGAAAGAAAGCUUUAAAGUUCCUGUUUUGUUCUCAUAACCUUUUGAAAUGUGACUUUUUCAGGCUGCUCCGUCGCCAGUGUUUGUUUUAUAGAGCCAGACCAAAAAUAGAAGAACAAAGUAAGACAUAGAAGCGACCCUGGAUAAGAAGAGCAGGACAGAAUUAGACCAAAUCCCAAACAAGCGCAGCCUACAAGCCUUUGGGCCGCAGCGUUCGGGGGCAAAGGACCUCGGGACGCAGCCAGAGGAAUGUGAGAACGCCAGAGCAGAGACGCCGCCGUCAUCUACAUCCUAAACACAUGAAACGCUGUCAGGAGGUGAGCGCUGGUCAAGUUCACACAGGACAGCGCCGAUCGCAGUGUGCGAGGAGCGAGGCCUCCGUGCGCAUGCGAAAACAAGCAGCGCGCUCACACCAGCAGGCAACAGCUUGGCAGAUAACCUCUAGACGCUGACGGAUGAUACGGGGAGACGCAUUUAAGACUUUAUUGUAUGCGAAAUCAGGAAGCAGCUUUGCAACGACAACGCUCGUGCAGGAGUGCCAUGUUACAAGAGAAUUCCUGAGGCGAGCCAAUGGCCCGAUAAAUCUGCCGGAGCCGCUCUCUCAAUUUGUCUCCGUGGAAUGUCAGCUGGCAAGCGCCCAGACACUGAGAACCUCUUUUCACAAUGCGCCAAUCUAACAGACGAGAUCCCAUGUUGGAGCUACAGAACAAGGACUGGCAUGGAUAAAUGGCCACGUGCGUUAUCUAGGUCUCUUUAUAUCUGACUGUCUGAGGUCCUGCUCCUCACACGGCCUCUGAAGGCCACUUCCUCCCCGAGCUGGAGGUUAACCUAAAUGGCUGCGUGGGUGACAUUGACAAAAUGCAGGUGUCACCAAAGAGGAACCUGCGAUAUGACACAGAAGCUGCGUCAGCCCGUCUUACUCCACAUGACCCGCAGUGUGAACAGAAAUCGUCCUGUUUGGUGUCGUUCAUCACUGUGUCUCCCACAUAGCUCGGUCCAGGUGGUGGAAUGGCAGAGUGGGAGAACAGACCAUGUUUGUGUGAAGAUGCAACAACUAUCUCUCUCUUUUUCUUUCGCUCUCGUUCCCUCCCUCUCUCCCUCCCUCCCUCCCUCCCCCCCCAAACAGACUGCUGUACCACUCUUUGUACUCUAUUUAAAGAUUGUAGGUUAGCGAACAACAAGAUGCCUUCCCACCUGUACCCCUAAAUGAGUCAUGGGACAUGAAUGAGCUGAUCAUUUUUCCAGAAAAAUGUGAACUAAAAUUAACAUUUUAUAAAUAUAUAAUGAAUAUGUCACAGUAUUAGUGUAUUCUGCUUUCUUACAGAAAUGCAGCAAGAUUUUAACUAAAUUAAGUUUGUGUUAUUUAUAAUUUAUAAUAUUAUCUUUUAAUUACUUUGCCCCACAAUUAAACAAUG